rnacentral:rRNA from 1 species
GAGUGAGUGGCGGACGGGUGAGUAACACGUGGGUAACCUGCCCUAAAGUGGGGGAUAACAUUUGGAAACAGAUGCUAAUACCGCAUAAAACCUAACACCGCAUGGUGUAGGGUUGAAAGAUGGUUUCGGCUAUCACUUUAGGAUGGACCCGCGGUGCAUUAGUUAGUUGGUGAGGUAAAGGCUCACCAAGACCGUGAUGCAUAGCCGACCUGAGAGGGUAAUCGGCCACACUGGGACUGAGACACGGCCCAGACUCCUACGGAGGCAGCAGUUAGGGAAUCUUCCACAAUGGACGAAAGUCUGAUGGAGCAACGCCGCGUGAGUGAAGAAGGUUUUCGGAUCGUAAAACUCUGUUGUUGGAGAAGAAUGUAUCUGAUAGUAACUGAUCAGGUAGUGACGGUAUCCAACCAGAAAGCCACGGCUAACUACGUG